CAACAGGAGUAGAAACAUGUAUAGGCAAAUCAAGCGACUCACAGAACAUGUCCAAACUCAAAGAAAAUUAUGUAGACACAUAAGAAUAAGUAGAGCCUGAAUCAAAUAAUAUUGUAGUCGACCGAUGACAAACUGGAAUAAUAAAUGUGAGAACAACAUCUGAAGCUCUGCCCUACUCGGAAAUGCAUAACACUAGGCAUGAUCGCCCUCAGACUUCACACGACCGGAAUGGAAUCCACCUCUCCCCGUAUGAGAACCGCCUCUACCACUUUGUGCACCUCCCCAUAUCGGAGGUUGAGCAGCCUUAGACAGUGGUGGACCCAGGAUUUUCAUUCAGGGGGUUCGAAAAAUAAAAGUAUAAACGUGUAAAUAAGCCAACAAAAACAAAUUCAAGGAAGUAGUAGUAUAUAGUUUAUAGGUACAAAAGUUAGUUUCGUUACAAGAAAUCCGAAACUAACAUAAGUGAUUACAGUGAAACAAAAGUUAGUCCUUUAAAAUAUGUCAAAUCAACAAUAGAAUAUUAUGGGAGAUGAUUUUAAUAUUUGAGUUUUGAGUGUUGGGGAAGAACAAGAAAGUGAUUUAGGGAUUUGGAAAGUGAAAAAGUAAUUAGCUUUCAGGAAUGGGAGUAUGGGACCCUUGAAUUUUUUGGGUUUAACACCACAUUUUAGCACUUUUUAUUAAAAAAAAAAAACUAAAAAAACCAUGAAAAUCGGAACUGGAACUGAAAGUAAAAAACUAAAAAAAAAAACGCUAACCCAGGGAUUCGAUCCCUGGACGUCAGGCUUAAUAUUGAAGGGAGCUGCCGCUGGGCAAUCUCCUUCACCUUGUCAUUGAGGGGGUUCAAAAUAUAUAUAUCCACAUAAAUCCAGAAAAUUCACCUUAUAUAUACAGUGUAAUUUUUUAUCGAGGGGGUUCGGGUGAACCCCCUGGACAACACGUGGGUUCGCCCCUGGCCUUAGAAGUCAAAGCAUGAAAACUACCAUGUCUGUCUGGGGACAAUCACGAAAUGUCCCGUGUCACCACACUCUAAACAACCCCUACGGGGCAUAGGCUAAUGUGAGGAACCUGAAUGCCCUCCACGGCCUAAAGGUCACAAUGAUGAGCACUAUGAAGUUUGUAUUGAAC
rnacentral:lncRNA from 1 species